AGGAUUCCCCUAGUAACUGCGAGUGAAGCGGGAAAAGCUCAAAUUUAAAAUCUGGUGGCCUUUGGUCACCCGAGUUGUAAUUUAGAGAAGCGUCUUCCGCGCCAGACCGUGCACAAGUCUCCUGGAAUGGAGCGUCAUAGAGGGUGAGAAUCCCGUCUUUGGCACGGAUGCCUGGUGCUUCUGUGAUGCGCUCUCAAAGAGUCGAGUUGUUUGGGAAUGCAGCUCCAAAUGGGUGGUGAACUCCAUCUAAAGCUAAAUAUUGGCGAGAGACCGAUAGCGAACAAGUACCGUGAGGGAAAGAUGAAAAGCACUUUGGAAAGAGAGUGAAACAGUACGUGAAAUUGUUGAAAGGGAAACGCUUGAAGUCAGUCGCGUCGACCGAGACUCAGCCUUGCCUUGGCUUGGUGUACUUCUCGGCCCGACGGGUCAGCGUCAAUUUUGCCCCUCGGACAAUGGCAAGGGAAAGGUGGCACCUUUGCGGGUGUGUUAUAGUCCCUUGUCGCACACGAGGAGUGGGAUUGAGGAACUCAGCGUGCACCUCUCGGUGUCGGGGCUUUCGCCCACGAAACACGCUUAGGACGCUGGCGUAAUGGCUUUAAGCGACCCGUCUUGAAACACGGACCAAGGAGUCCAACACGCCCGCGAGUGUUCGGGUGGAAAACCCGUGCGCGCAAUGAAAGUGAAAGUUGGGACCUCUGUCGUGGAGGGCACCGACGCCCGGACCAGACCUUCUGUGACGGAUCUGCGGUUGAGCGUGUGUGUUGGGACCCGAAAGAUGGUGAACUAUGCCUGAAUAGGGUGAAGCCAGAGGAAACUCUGGUGGAGGCUCGUAGCGAUUCUGACGUGCAAAUCGAUCGUCAAAUUUGGGUAUAGGGGCGAAAGACUAAUCGAU
rnacentral:rRNA from 1 species